rnacentral:rRNA from 1 species
CUACGGGAGGCAGCAGUGGGGAAUAUUGGACAAUGGGCGCAAGCCUGAUCCAGCCAUGCCGCGUGAGUGACGAAGGCCUUAGGGUUGUAAAGCUCUUUUGCCGGGGACGAUAAUGACGGUACCCGGAGAAUAAGUCCCGGCUAACUUCGUGCCAGCAGCCGCGGUAAUACGAAGGGGACUAGCGUUGUUCGGAAUCACUGGGCGUAAAGCGCACGUAGGCGGAUUUGUCAGUCAGGGGUGAAAUCCCGGGGCUCAACCUCGGAACUGCCUUUGAUACUGUGAGUCUCGAGACCGGAAGAGGUGAGUGGAAUUCCUAGUGUAGAGGUGAAAUUCGUAGAUAUUAGGAAGAACACCAGUGGCGAAGGCGGCUCACUGGUCCGGUUCUGACGCUGAGGUGCGAAAGCGUGGGGAGCAAACAGGAUUAGAAACCCUGGUAGUCC